GAUGAAUAACGUAGUGAAAUGCGAUAAGUAAUGUGAAUUGCAGAAUUCAGUGAAUCAUCGAAUCUUUGAACGCAUCUUGCGCUCCUUGGUAUUCUGAGGAGCAUGCCUGUUUGAGUGUCAUUAAAUUCUCAACUACACUGACUUUGAAUUGGUGUGGCUUGGAUUUGGGGGGAAAAUUGUUGUGGGCUUUUUGUAUAGUCUGCUCCCCUGAAAUUGAUUAGCGGUACCUUUGUGGAACUGUCUACAGGUGUGAUAAUUAUCUACAUCUUAGACAUCUGCUGGAAUGCUGCUUUCUAAACCUUACUUGUAUUGACAAUCUUGACCUCAAAUCAGGUAGGACUACCCGCUGAACUUAAGCAUAUCAAUAAGCGGAGGA
rnacentral:misc_RNA from 1 species